GACGAACGCUGGCGGCGUGCUUAACACAUGCAAGUCGAACGGAAAGGCCCUGCUUUUGUGGGGUGCUCGAGUGGCGAACGGGUGAGUAACACGUGAGUAACCUGCCCUUGACUUUGGGAUAACUUCAGGAAACUGGGGCUAAUACCGGAUAGGAGCUCCUGCUGCAUGGUGGGGGUUGGAAAGUUUCGGCGGUUGGGGAUGGACUCGCGGCUUAUCAGCUUGUUGGUGGGGUAGUGGCUUACCAAGGCUUUGACGGGUAGCCGGCCUGAGAGGGUGACCGGCCACAUUGGGACUGAGAUACGGCCCAGACUCCUACGGGAGGCAGCAGUGGGGAAUAUUGCACAAUGGGCGGAAGCCUGAUGCAGCAACGCCGCGUGCGGGAUGACGGCCUUCGGGUUGUAAACCGCUUUCGCCUGUGACGAAGCGUGAGUGACGGUAAUGGGUAAAGAAGCACCGGCUAACUACGUGCCAGCAGCCGCGGUGAUACGUAGGGUGCGAGCGUUGUCCGGAUUUAUUGGGCGUAAAGGGCUCGUAGGUGGUUGAUCGCGUCGGAAGUGUAAUCUUGGGGCUUAACCCUGAGCGUGCUUUCGAUACGGGUUGACUUGAGGAAGGUAGGGGAGAAUGGAAUUCCUGGUGGAGCGGUGGAAUGCGCAGAUAUCAGGAGGAACACCAGUGGCGAAGGCGGUUCUCUGGGCCUUUCCUGACGCUGAGGAGCGAAAGCGUGGGGAGCGAACAGGCUUAGAUACCCUGGUAGUCCACGCUGUAAACGGUGGGUACUAGGUGUGGGGUCCAUUCCACGGGUUCCGUGCCGUAGCUAACGCUUUAAGUACCCCGCCUGGGGAGUACGGCCGCAAGGCUAAAACUCAAAGGAAUUGACGGGGCCCCGCACAAGCGGCGGAGCAUGCGGAUUAAUUCGAUGCAACGCGUAGAACCUUACCUGGGUUUGACAUGGAUCGGGGGUGCUCAGAGAUGGGUGUGCCUCUUUUGGGGUCGGUUCACAGGUGGUGCAUGGCUGUCGUCAGCUCGUGUCGUGAGAUGUUGGGUUAAGUCCCGCAACGAGCGCAACCCUUGUUCACUGUUGCCAGCACGUUAUGGUGGGGACUCAAUGGAGACCGCCGGGGUCAACUCGGAGGAAGGUGGGGAUGACGUCAAGUCAUCAUGCCCCUUAUGUCCAGGGCUUCACGCAUGCUACAAUGGCUGGUACAGAGAGUGGCGAGCCUGUGAGGGUGAGCGAAUCUCGGAAAGCCGGUCUCAGUUCGGAUUGGGGUCUGCAACUCGACCUCAUGAAGUCGGAGUCGCUAGUAAUCGCAGAUCAGCAACGCUGCGGUGAAUAAAUUCCCGGGGCU
rnacentral:rRNA from 1 species